UACGGAGGGUGCAAGCGUUAAUCGGAAUUACUGGGCGUAAAGCGCACGCAGGCGGUUUGUUAAGUCAGAUGUGAAAUCCCCGGGCUCAACCUGGGAACUGCAUCUGAUACUGGCAAGCUUGAGUCUCGUAGAGGGGGGUAGAAUUCCAGGUGUAGCGGUGAAAUGCGUAGAGAUCUGGAGGAAUACCGGUGGCGAAGGCGGCCCCCUGGACGAAGACUGACUCUCUGCUUCUACAUCGUGGGGAUCCUACAGG
rnacentral:rRNA from 1 species